UGGAUAGCUCGCUCAGUACAGCGUGAGACUCUUAAUCUCUGGGUCCUGGGUUCAAGCCCUAAGUUGGGCAA